GGCAGCAUAACCGAGAAGGAAAUUAUUUGUGUCUAAAGGGUUGCAGGUCAGAAAUGGUUAAUUAUCUCUCUCUUUCCAAUUGAUAGGAGGAAAGGAUGGAGCGUUUUGGAGGAUCAUAGAAAUGGAAGGAACUCCAAGGCAUUUAGCCUAAUUUCUGCCCUGUCAGAAUACAACACCAACUUACCACCCAGAAGAGGCCAUUUAAACUCUGUUUAAAAGUCUACAGUGAAUGAGAGUCAAUUACCUUAAAAGCUGGUCUCUUAUUUUCCAGCUUUUGCUUUAGAAGACCAAGUGGAUGAACAGUUCUAUAUGUGUUGUAUAAUUCACGGAUCAAACAGUGACCAUAUGUUCAGGAAGAAGAACCACAGCUAAUUCAAUUUCUCUUUCCCACCUGUCCACUUGCUCCUCCUUCCCCACAAAACAGCUGACUGGUGUCCUCUUAGCUUUUAACGAAAGUGUUUCCUGAAUGCCAUCAUCUCCUCCUCUUCAUUUGAACUAGUUAAGGAUGUGAAUAACACUGUAGAAAAGGCUUGUCCAAGAGAGAACCGUGAGUUUCUCCCUCUGCUAUGAUAUCCACCCCCUAGUCUACAAACCACGCUGCAAAUAGUAGUUUUGCUUGCCCAUGAAAAAGACCUGGGAAAGGUUACAAAAUUGUUCUUGGCUUUGUUAAAAGUGCUUAUGCCUGGAUAACAACAGAAGUGUGGCUUUUGACCUCAAAGGCAAUCUGUCCAGAACUUGUCCAUGUCUCCAGGCUAAGUUCACUUGGAAUAGUUUCAUAGACACCAAAAAUCACAGGGGAACAAAAUCUCAGAAAAGUCCAUUACGAAUAAACUGACUUUGAAACACAAAGAGGUAGCAGUGUGUUUUCUUCAGGGAAAAGCUGAACAAAUUUUGCCAAAAAACAAAAACAAAACCCUGUGAUUGUCACUAUAGGCUGGAAAUGAUUCAAAGGCAAACAAUAACAAAAUACAAGUGGACAUCUUCUGACAUUUUUCCAUCUGGCAAGAAUGAGGUCACUAAAUGAUUUCCUGCUUACUAAAUAAGAAAAUGUCUUGAGAGGAUAUACAAGUGGAGCUGGCAAAGACAGCUGAUUGUAGGAGUGAAGCAAAGGUAGGCUACGUCUUUGAUGCCAUGGAGGAAGAUGAGAGUCCCUGACUUAGGUGAUAACUAGUGCAGUAAAAGGAAACUAUGGCCUCCAAAGAUUGGUAAUGGGCCACAAUUUCUCUAUCUGUUAUCUGUGACUAGAGCAGUAGUUCUCAACCUGGGGUCCCCA
rnacentral:lncRNA from 1 species